UGCGUAGGAUGCAAGCGUUGUCCGGAAUUACUGGGCGUAAAGCGCACGUAGGCGGCUUUGUAAGUUAGAGGUGAAAGCCCAGGGCUUAACCCUGGAAUUGCCUUUAAGACUGCAUCGCUAGAAUCGUGGAGAGGUGAGUGGAAUUCCGAGUGUAGAGGUGAAAUUCGUAGAUAUUCGGAAGAACACCAGUGGCGAAGGCGACUCACUGGACACGUAUUGACGCUGAGGUGCGAAAGCGUGGGGAGCAAACAGG
rnacentral:rRNA from 1 species